AACCUGUCUAGUCACCAGGAUGGAGAGGGGUACCAGACAAACUACUUGAAAUCUGGGCUGUCCCAGAAGGUGUGGGCCAUCACCAUUUGUACCUGGGGAGAUGCAAGAGGAGAUGCAUGCUGUUGUGUUAACAUUCUCCCAAGGACACAGACAUUUACUCACCUUAGGAUCAGAAGAGAUCAGGAAGGAGAGAGAAAGAGCGAGGGACUCAGUUCAGAAGCCAGCAUAAGCCUCCGGUCUUCUCUGCUUUCCGGUUGGGUUCUCUUCUGGAUGGGUGUGUGGCAGAGCGGCAGGUGUAAGGCCUGGCUCGGUCUCAGCAUCACUUUCUUCAAAGUUCUCUUGGAUUUUUUUUUUUUUUUUGGCCUUUACCCUCAGAAAAUUAAAAUGUUCUCAUUAAAUCACGAUGAUCCAUCCACCCUUCCAUCUAGCCACUUGUCUAAUUAAUCACCUGCCUAUCUAUCCAUCUGCCCAGCUAUUAAACAGUUACUUAGCACUUACCCACUCAGAAAAUCACUCACCGUAUCAGGUGUUGGAGGAGACUGAAGGAUGACUCAG
rnacentral:lncRNA from 1 species